rnacentral:rRNA from 2 species
GCGGAGGAAAAGAAACCAACUGGGAUUACCUUAGUAACGGCGAGUGAAGCGGUAAAAGCUCAAAUUUGAAAUCUGGUACUUUCAGUGCCCGAGUUGUAAUUUGUAGAAUUUGUCUUUGAUUAGGUCCUUGUCUAUGUUCCUUGGAACAGGACGUCAUAGAGGGUGAGAAUCCCGUUUGGCGAGGAUACCUUUUCUCUGUAAGACUUUUUCGAAGAGUCGAGUUGUUUGGGAAUGCAGCUCAAAGUGGGUGGUAAAUUCCAUCUAAAGCUAAAUAUUGGCGAGAGACCGAUAGCGAACAAGUACAGUGAUGGAAAGAUGAAAAGAACUUUGAAAAGAGAGUGAAAAAGUACGUGAAAUUGUUGAAAGGGAAGGGCAUUUGAUCAGACAUGGUGUUUUUUUAAUGUGCAAGUCUCUCGUGGACAUGUGCCUCUGGAAAUUAACACUGGGCCAACAUCAGUUCUGGCGGCAGGAUAAAUCAUUAAGAAUGUAGCUACCUCGGUAGUGUUAUAGCUUUUUGGAAUACUGCCAGCUGGGAUUGAGGACUGCGCUCGGCA